rnacentral:ncRNA from 1 species
UAACAGGCAGAUCUUCCCAAAAAGUUCACAUCUAUGGCAAGGUUUGGCACCUCGAUGCCGACUCUUCGCCACCUGGGGCGGUAGUACGUUCCAAGGGCUGGGCUGUUCGCCCAUUAUAGCAGUAUGUGAUCUAGACACAUCUUAAAAGGUG